rnacentral:rRNA from 1 species
GCACUGUUUCGGCAAGGGGGUCAUCCCGACUUACCAACCCGAUGCAAACUGCGAAUACCGGAGAAUGUUAUCACGGGAGACACACGGCGGGUGCUAACGUCCGUCGUGAAGAGGGAAACAACCCAGACCGCCAGCUAAGGUCCCAAAGUCAUGGUUAAGUGGGAAACGAUGUGGGAAGGCCCAGACAGCCAGGAUGUUGGCUUAGAAGCAGCCAUCAUUUAAAGAAAGCGUAAUAGCUCACUGGUCGAGUCGGCCUGCGCGGAAGAUGUAACGGGGCUAAACCAUGCACCGAAGCUGCGGCAGCGACGCUUAUGCGUUGUUGGGUAGGGGAGCGUUCUGUAAGCCUGCGAAGGUGUGCUGUGAGGCAUGCUGGAGGUAUCAGAAGUGCGAAUGCUGACAUAAGUAACGAUAAAGCGGGUGAAAAGCCCGCUCGCCGGAAGACCAAGGGUUCCUGUCCAACGUUAAUCGGGGCAGGGUGAGUCGACCCCUAAGGCGAGGCCGAAAGGCGUAGUCGAUGGGAAACAGGUUAAUAUUCCUGUACUUGGUGUUACUGCGAAGGGGGGACGGAGAAGGCUAUGUUGGCCGGGCGACGGUUGUCCCGGUUUAAGCGUGUAGGCUGGUUUUCCAGGCAAAUCCGGAAAAUCAAGGCUGAGGCGUGAUGACGAGGCACUACGGUGCUGAAGCAACAAAUGCCCUGCUUCCAGGAAAAGCCUCUAAGCAUCAGGUAACAUCAAAUCGUACCCCAAACCGACACAGGUGGUCAGGUAGAGAAUACCAAGGCGCUUGAGAGAACUCGGGUGAAGGAACUAGGCAAAAUGGUGCCGUAACUUCGGGAGAAGGCACGCUGAUAUGUAGGUGAAGUCCCUUGCGGAUGGAGCUGAAAUCAGUCGAAGAUACCAGCUGGCUGCAACUGUUUAUUAAAAACACAGCACUGUGCAAACACGAAAGUGGACGUAUACGGUGUGACGCCUGCCCGGUGCCGGAAGGUUAAUUGAUGGGGUCAGCGCAAGCGAAGCUCUUGAUCGAAGCCCCGGUAAACGGCGGCCGUAACUAUAACGGUCCUAAGGUAGCGAAAUUCCUUGUCGGGUAAGUUCCGACCUGCACGAAUGGCGUAAUGAUGGCCAGGCUGUCUCCACCCGAGACUCAGUGAAAUUGAACUCGCUGUGAAGAUGCAGUGUACCCGCGGCAAGACGGAAAGACCCCGUGAACCUUUACUAUAGCUUGACACUGAACAUUGAGCCUUGAUGUGUAGGAUAGGUGGGAGGCUUUGAAGUGUGGACGCCAGUCUGCAUGGAGCCGGCCUUGAAAUACCACCCUUUAAUGUUUGAUGUUCUAACGUGGACCCGUGAUCCGGGUUGCGGACAGUGUCUGGUGGGUAGUUUGACUGGGGCGGUCUCCUCCUAAAGAGUAACGGAGGAGCACGAAGGUUGGCUAAUCCUGGUCGGACAUCAGGAGGUUAGUGCAAUGGCAUAAGCCAGCUUGACUGCGAGCGUGACGGCGCGAGCAGGUGCGAAAGCAGGUCAUAGUGAUCCGGUGGUUCUGAAUGGAAGGGCCAUCGCUCAACGGAUAAAAGGUACUCCGGGGAUAACAGGCUGAUACCGCCCAAGAGUUCAUAUCGACGGCGGUGUUUGGCACCUCGAUGUCGGCUCAUCACAUCCUGGGGCUGAAGUAGGUCCCAAGGGUAUGGCUGUUCGCCAUUUAAAGUGGUACGCGAGCUGGGUUUAGAACGUCGUGAGACAGUUCGGUCCCUAUCUGCCGUGGGCGCUGGAGAACUGAGGGGGGCUGCUCCUAGUACGAGAGGACCGGAGUGGACGCAUCACUGGUGUUCGGGUUGUCAUGCCAAUGGCACUGCCCGGUAGCUAAAUGCGGAAGAGAUAAGUGCUGAAAGCAUCUAAGCACGAAACUUGCCCCGAGAUGAGUUCUCCCUGACCCUUUAAGGGUCCUGAAGGAACGUUGAAGACGACGACGUUGAUAGGCCGGGUGUGUAAGCGCAGCGAUGCGUUGAGCUAACCGGUACUAAUGAACCGUGAGGCUUAACCUUACAACGCCGAAG